rnacentral:rRNA from 1 species
GAAUCUUGGACAAUGGGGGCAACCCUGAUCCAGCCAUGCCGCGUGAGCGAUGAAGGCCUUAGGGUUGUAAAGCUCUUUCAGCGGGGAAGAUAAUGACGGUACCCGCAGAAGAAGCCCCAGCUAACUCCGUGCCAGCAGCCGCGGUAAUACGGGGGGAGCAAGCGUUGUUCGGAUUUACUGGGCGUAAAGGGCGCGUAGGCGGCCACCGCAAGUCGACUGUGAAAUCUCCGGGCUUAACCCGGAAAGGUCAGCCGAUACUGCGGGGCUAGAGUGCAGAAGGGGCAACUGGAAUUCUCGGUGUAGCGGUGAAAUGCGUAGAUAUCGAGAGGAACACCUGCGGCGAAGGCGGGUAGCUGGGCUGACACUGACGCUGAGGCGCGAAAGCUAGGGGAGCGAACGGG